UGAAAGCGUAAAGGUUGUGUUUUUCGAUUUGUUUGCGAAAGUGAAUCGUGAAAUCGUGUAAAUUACGUACUGGAAAAGUGCGAGUGCGUUAAUGCGGAAAAUUUUAUUGCUUGAAGGCAAAUUUUUGCAAAAAAACAAUGAAAAUUGUGUGUCAAAAUUUUAAAAAUAUUAAAGAAAUAUUGCUAAAUUUUAUAUUAUUUCACUUGUGAUUUGUGGGAAGAAAUAAUGUUUUGAAAAUAAAAAAAAUAAUUUCACAAUCCGUCUGGCAGAAUUAAAGAUAAAAAAAAUUGUUGUAAAAAUUUGUGAAUCAAAAAAAUUGUGUGUGUACGAGAAAGUGAAAUCUUCAAAAAAUCUAAUCUUAUGAGCGCAUGAAAAAUUCAUGGUGAUUAAUAAGUUAUUCAUUCAUUUGUUGUUGUUAUAAUCAAUAUAAUAACAAAAUCGUAAUAUCGCAGAGUUAAGCAGUGGUGUUUGUUUUACAACUGAUACUGCGAAAAUCUCUACACAAAAAUUCAUCUUUUAUGAAAAAUCAAUCACCGCUUAGCGUAAAUAUAAAAAUAUUUGUUUUUCAUGAAAAUAAAAAAGUAAUAAAAAUUGAUGUAACUAAAAUCCUUAAAAAAAUCAAAUUCUUCAUUAAUUAAUUAAUUUCGUGUGUGUUUAGAAAAAAAUAAAUACGGAAAUGUUGCUGCGGUGAAAAUUCGUGCAAAAAAAAUAUAAAUAAGUGUUUCCUCCAAAAAUUUUUGCGCAAAAAAAAACAAAAGUUUCACGAAUUUCAAAAUAUUUCGCAAUUAUAAGUAAUUGUAAAGAAAAUAAAAGCAACAACAACAGCAGCGAUUUUCAUUUGCCACAUUUCGUCAGCAGACAAAAUUUUGCCGCAUUGCAGCAUUGCUUGCAUAUACAUUUGUAUGUAUGUACAUAUGUCGCACGUCCAACAUCUCAAGUGAAAAGUGGUUGUGAAAUUGAGAAAGCGUAAUAUUGA